rnacentral:tRNA from 1 species
GAGGGUAUAGCUCAAGUGGUAAAGUGCAGGCUUAGCAAGCAUGAGGUCCUGGGUUCAAUCCCCAGUACCUCCA